UACAGGGGGUGCAAACGUUGCUCGGAAUUAUUGAGCGUAAAGCGCACGUAGGCGGUUUGUUAUGUCGGAUGUGAAAGCCCUUGGCUCAACUGAGGAAGUGCAUCCGAAACUGGCAAGCUAGAGUAUGUAAGAGGGUCGCGGAAUUCCCGGUGUAGAGGUGAAAUUCGUAGAUAUCGGGAGGAACACCGGUGGCGAAGGCGGCGACCUGGGACAAUACUGACGCUGAGGUGCGAAAGCGUGGGGAGCAAACAGG
rnacentral:rRNA from 1 species